UCACUAAGUUUAAUCAUGAUUAAUGUUGUAAUUCAGGUAAACCUAGUAGGUGGCUAUUAUGGUACUGGAGACAACGUUAAGUUUGGGUUGCUAAUGGCCUUUACUACAACAUUGUUAGCAUGAAGUGUGAUUGAAUUUGAAAGCUCAAUGAUGGACCAGAUUGAAAACGCUAGAGACAGCAGUUACACUUGCAGCUUCUUCGAUAGUAUUCGGAGAUUCAGAUCCAGCGUAUUCCUCCAAAUUGCUUCAAGCAGCCAUAAACGUAUUCAAUUUUGCAAACCGUUACAGGGGUUCUUACUGUGAUUCUCUUGGUUCUGUUAUAUGUCCAUUCUACUGCUCUUACUCUGGAUACCAUGAUGAACUUCUGUGGAGUGCAUCAUGGAUUUAUAAAGCCUCAGGAACUAGCUCAUAAAUGCAAUAUAUUCGAUCCAAUGACCACAUUUUAGGUGUUGAUGAUGAUGGUUUCUCCUUCAGCUGGGAUGACAAGCGACCCGGAACUAAAAUCCUCCUUUCCAAGUUGUGUGCAUGGUGUGACCUGAGUAAAAUGUAUUCGUGGAUUGUUAGAUGGUGAUUGCUAGUGGUGUUGUUGGAAGCUAAAGAAAGGUGUUGAUGGAGGUGGUUUGGUGGUGUUAGGUUAGGACGUUUCAAUGGUGGACUUGAUUUGAAGAAUAUUGGUUAGUUCUUAACAUUUGUACAUGAGAAUCGAUUAUCCAUCCACAAAUUAAGGGUAUUGGAUAUGAUACAUGGUUUUCAUAGUGCAAUUGCAACAUUGAAAGUUCAAGCCUAA